AGCUUUGCGCAGUGGCAGUAUCGUAGCCAAUGAGGUUUAUCCAAGGCGCGAUUAUUGCUAAUUGAAAAAUGUUUCUAGGGGCACCUGGGGGGGCUCAGUCUGUCUUGGGAUCAGACUCCCCACUGGGCUUUAUACUCAGGGAAGAGU